CCUACGGGGGGCAGCAGUGAGGAAUAUUGGUCAAUGGACGAGAGUCUGAACCAGCCAAGUAGCGUGAAGGAUGACUGCCCUAUGGGUUGUAAACUUCUUUUAUAUGGGAAUAAAAUGUUCCACGUGUGGGCUUUUGUAUGUACCAUCUGAAUAAGGAUCGGCUAACUCCGUGCCAGCAGCCGCGGUAAUACGGAGGAUCCGAGCGUGAUCCGGAUUUAUUGGGUUUAAAGGGAGCGUAGGUGGAUUGUUAAGUCAGUUGUGAAAGUUUGCGGCUCAACCGUAAAAUUGCAGUUGAAACUGGCAGUCUUGAGUACAGUAGAGGUGGGCGGAAUUCGUGGUGUAGCGGUGAAAUGCUUAGAUAUCACGAAGAACUCCGAUUGCGAAGGCAGCUCACUGGACUGCAACUGACACUGAGGCUCGAAAGUGUGGGUAUCAAACAGGAUUAGAUACCCGGGUAGUC
rnacentral:rRNA from 1 species